CCUACGGGAGGCAGCAGUGGGGGAUAUUGCACAAUGGGGGGAACCCUGAUGCAGCGACGCCGCGUGGGUGAAGAAGCGCCUCGGCGCGUACAGCCCUGUCAGCAGGGAAGAAAAUGACGGUACCUGACGAAGAAGCCCCGGCUAACUACGUGCCAGCAGCCGCGGUAAUACGUAGGGGGCAAGCGUUAUCCGGAUUUACUGGGUGUAAAGGGGGCGGAGACGGCGAUGCAAGCCAGGAGUGAACGCCCGGGGCCCAACCCCGGGACUGCUCUUGGAACUGCGUGGCUGGAGUGCAGGAGGGGCAGGCGGAAUUCCUGGUGUAGCGGUGAAAUGCGUAGAUAUCAGGAGGAACACCGGUGGCGAAGGCGGCCUGCUGGACUGCAACUGACGUUGAGGCCCGAAAGCGUGGGGAGCAAACAGGAUUAGAUACCCUAGUAGUC
rnacentral:rRNA from 1 species